rnacentral:lncRNA from 1 species
CUUUUUUCUCUUAUUUUAAGACCAAAAAGAAACAAAAUACAAGUCGUGCACAAAAAAAAAAAAAAAAAAAAAACAAAAUACAUCUCUAAGCAUGUGUUGAUUUGAUUAUCAAUCUGUACAAGAAUAUAAGUAACAUGAUACUUUUAAAAAUUACAACACCUCUACCAAUCUCUCAACAACCUCCCUUGUCAAGAUAUCGAAGAAAUAGAGAAGCAAUAAAAAGGUCCCUUGUUAAUUAUUUUUUUCGUAGAAAAUAAAAAAUGUCCCAUGUUAUCGGUUGAUGUAUCCUCCUAAUACCUCAUUUUAAAGCGUUACUGUUACGAACAUGUGAAGCAAAAAUACGGCGUUCGAGGAUCAACAGACCAACCACACGUAAGCGUGCUACAAUCUUACUUUCCGGCCAGCUAAACCAAAGGUAUUAUGGUUAAAAAAAAAUAAAAAAAAUUUGGUUUACAAGUCAUGAUAAUAUAAUUGUCUUUCUUUCUACAAAAUUUGGUAUAAUUUCUUUCUAAAUGUAAAGAGCUCAUUAAUUAAACUCUUCAAAUAAACGUUGCAUUUACUAGUAUCGGAAAACAAGCUAAAUAACUAUGGUUGAUAUUCUUUGAUGUAAUUGACGUAUAGUAGUUAGAUGAAAUUAGUCCUCCAGUCAAAAUGUUGAAUGGUGAACUAAAACUGUAGAGCGAUCAAAUCAUUUUUACAGGUACUGUUUUUUUAAUCCAUCAUAUCAAAUCUUUCAAAAGAAAAAAAAAUACUAACCAUUUGGAUAACGUGCGUUAAACCUGUUACCUCUACGUGCAGCAACAGAAAAUGUGAUGGUGACGAAUAACGUUGAUUACUUUGUAAUGUGCUCUAUAGGUGGAGCCUGCUCAUAACACUUGUAAGGCUACAAAAUGAACCUCGCUCUCUGCCUCUCUCUAUUCGUUAACCAUUCCUAAAUCGUGUAUAUAUAUAUAUAUAUAUCGUUAUAUCUUUUGUUUUUCUUUUUGGCAGCACCUUUUGUUUUGUUUAAACGCCUAAAAACGCCUUUGAUUGUUUUUCUUUUUAUUGAUAGGAUGAGAUAGGACAAUAAAUAC